GAAUGGCUAAAUAUUUUUCCCUCAUCCCAAGUGUCCUCUCCGCCUUCAUUCCCACUUUUGCCUCUUGUGGUCUUAUUUUCUCCCAACUCUAGUAGUUUCUUCGUCUUCAAACAAGGUGUGGAGCUGUUUCUUCGUGUUCAAACAAGGCGGGAAGCUCUUGGGCUUUAUUCCACUUUGGCAAUUAAACUUGCAAAGAAAUCUGUCGAGAAGAGAAACAAGGAUGCCCGUCGUGGAGAAGUUGAUAGAGUUAUACCUAAUCUGCGGCGCGACGACCUCUGUCCGUGGGUGUGGUGGUAGGGGCACUUUUUUCGUGACAACAGUGUUUCAGCGUCUUCACGGCGAGUCUCCGGUGACUCAGGCGCGAUGUUUUUAAGACACGAGGAUCUCGUUCUCCAGCAUUUUAGCAAUAGUAGAAACUUGGAUGGAAUUCGCGAUUGAUUUAGGGUUUGAAUUCGGAUUUUGUUUUUAGGGAUUUGAAUGGGGUUUUCUUUCGAUGUCUCAUGAUUUUGGGUAAGGCUGUGGAGGAGAAGAAAUUCUAGGUAUGAAAGCUAUUUUAGUAGGAUUGAUUGCUUGUAUGUGGUACGAUAUGCUUUUCCCCUAUUUUAAUGUUCAUUCCGGGAUAAUUGUAUGUUUGGGGAAUUGAAAAUAGAAUACUCUUCUAAUCCUUGUAGCUGAGGUCUCUCUGCAUUUCUUUGAUAUUCCUUAGGUACAUAUUGCAGUCAAGAUGUUGCUAUCAAAGUUAUGAAUAUGGAUUCGAGUAUGGUGGAAGAACGGAGGGGAGUGAAUAUGGAUUUAGGUAUGUUAGAAGGAAGAGUAGUGGGCAUGGGUAAGAACAACGGCAGGACAGUGGGUAUGGUUUUGGAGGGAGGAGUGAGUAUGAUGAGAAACCUAGCUAUAUAUGUUCGGAAAAUGUUUGUUUAACACCACAUUUGACACAAAUUUGACACCGUCCAGGUGUCAAAUUUCUAUUGGGUUAUUUAUUUUAAAUUGAAAAAGCUUUUGUAAUAAACUGACGGGAUAGAAGUGGUAUAAUAAAAUAUUGAAUAUGAUUUUGGAUUUGGCGGUUUCGUUUUCGUCUUUCACUUUUACUGUGAACAGUUUCGUUUUCUCUCCAACAGGUUCCUUCGUCUUUCGUUUGCCACCAUCUCAUUGCUGCGUCACUUUGGUUUUAUCUCAAGCAGGGGAAGGCGAUCAUUGAGAAGUUGGAAUGGCUUCCGAAAUCCCAAAGUGGAGGGUUCGUACUUCUUUGGAUUCAUCUUAUAUUAUUGGACAGCAUAGAAGCAAGACUUGGCAAUAUUGAGAACCGACUUCCACAAGUUGGAAACAUUCAGAACCCAUUUUAUCAUUUCACUUCCUAGUUUGAAUUUUGUCUUUAUAUGUAUUUUCUUCCAUUUGGAACUUCAAGCUGAAUAUUGUAAUGUUUUCAUUACUUAAUUUCAAUAUCGCAAUUUCGAAGUUUA